GACGAACGCUGGCGGUGUGCUUAACACAUGCAAGUCGAACGGUAAGGCCCUUUCGGGGGUACACGAGUGGCGAACGGGUGAGUAACACGUGAGUAACCUGCCCUCAUCUCUGGGAUAACAGUCGGAAACGGUUGCUAAUACUGGAUAUGAGCUUGCAAGGCAUCUUGUGGGUUGGAAAGAUUUUUUUGGUUGGGGAUGGACUCGCGGCCUAUCAGCUUGUUGGUGAGGUAGUGGCUCACCAAGGCUUCGACGGGUAGCCGGCCUGAGAGGGCGACCGGCCACAUUGGGACUGAGAUACGGCCCAGACUCCUACGGGAGGCAGCAGUGGGGAAUAUUGCACAAUGGCCGGAGGUCUGAUGCAGCACCGCCGCGUGCGGGAUGACGGCCUUCGGGUUGUAAACCGCUUUCAAUUGUGACGAAGCUUUUUGUGACGGUAGCAGUAGAAGAAGCACCGGCUAACUACGUG
rnacentral:rRNA from 1 species